AACGCACAUUGCGCCCUUUGGUAUUCCGAAGGGCAUGCCUGUUCGAGCGUCAUUAUCAACCCUCAAGCCUGGCUUGCUGUUGGACCUCUCGUCGUUGAAGACGGGUCCUAAAGUUAAUGGCGGAGUCGUCUGGACCCUAGAUGCAACGAGCUCUCGUAGCACGCAUUUAAGGGGCUGGCGGCUCCAGUCUCAACCCAUAUCAUUUACAAGGUUGACCUCGGAUCAGGUAGGAAUACCCGCUGAACUUAA
rnacentral:misc_RNA from 1 species